GAGUAUCGUCAUAUUCCAACUGAAAGCUCUCACUGAUAUCGCAAAUGCCAGCAACUCCUUGAUCGGCAUGUGGGUGCUACAGCCCACCAUCCUGGACUUGUUGGCGUCCCGGCUGAUCCCGCAGUCUGUCGGCAAGAGUCAGCCCUUCCCUCAUGUACACCCAACUGUACCUGCUCUACUCUCACUGCUCCAGGCAUAGUCACUUCAUCACGACCAGCAGCCUUGUGGGAGUUACGCACGGACGCCCCGCAGUGAGUAGCCUACUGGGAUUGCCAGCUUCUGACAUCUCUCAGCAAUCCCCUACCUGCG